rnacentral:rRNA from 1 species
AUUGAACGCUGGCGGCAGGCUUAACACAUGCAAGUCGAGCGGGGUGAUGGUGCUUGCACUAUCACUUAGCGGCGGACGGGUGAGUAAUGCUUAGGAAUCUGCCUAUUAGUGGGGGACAACAUCUCGAAAGGGAUGCUAAUACCGCAUACGUCCUACGGGAGAAAGCAGGGGAUCACUUGUGACCUUGCGCUAAUAGAUGAGCCUAAGUCGGAUUAGCUAGUUGGUGGGGUAAAGGCCUACCAAGGCGACGAUCUGUAGCGGGUCUGAGAGGAUGAUCCGCCACACUGGGACUGAGACACGGCCCAGACUCCUACGGGAGGCAGCAGUGGGGAAGAUUGGACAAUGGGGGGAACCCUGAUCCAGCCAUGCCGCGUGCGUGAAGAAGGCCUUAUGGUUGUAAAGCACUUUAAGCGAGGAGGAGGCUCUUUUGGUUAAUACCCAAGAUGAGUGGACGUUACUCGCAGAAUAAGCACCGGCUAACUCUGUGCCAGCAGCCGCAGUAA